rnacentral:lncRNA from 1 species
AUGAGUCAGACCUGGACCCCCCACCUUCCAGAGAAGGUCCUACGGGGAAGGUCGGCGCUCUGGAGCCCUGUGAUGCUGCAUUGCCCCAGGAGGCGCUGUGCUCGGAGCUGCCGAGCGCGGGGAGCAGGAAGGCCUGGUCACGCAGCGGGCUCUGCUGAGGCUGGGCAAGCCUUUGUUGUCGCUGCCAGAAGAGAUGUCCUCUCAGCCACGCCCAGGACGUGUCCCGACCGCGUGGAACCUGCAGCUGCAGACUUCCAGGGACACAGGCCGAGCUCGCAUGCUCCACUGGGAAACUCUCGGGGCCCUGGCUGGGGUCCGUGGGAGGGCUGUACCUGGGGCUGGGGCCCUUCUGGAGCUUGGAGAACCAACAUGAAGAGGUCCAGGGAUAUCAAUAGCAAGAGUUCCUGCCGGGGGUGUCAUCUCAGAUGUAAAAGGACUAAUGGGAGAACCCACCUGCCUUGUUUACUCAUGAAUGUCAAAUGUCCAAAUGUGGCGCUUUAAUACUGCAUAUAUCUUAAGGAAAUGCCUAUAAUUGUGUUAUCUCUAGUAGAGUAAAGUACCUUUUAAAUCUCCUCUGUAUCAGUUAUUCCUUAAUUUCCAGCUGUCUUAGUCGUCACUUCCCUUGUUGCUGGGACAAAUAUCCAACACCCACAACUUAGAGCGAUUCUGGCUCACAGUUACAGUCCAUGGCCAGCUUGCUCCAAGGCAGAAAGGCAUAGUAAAAGGGCCUGGGCAGAGGAACACUGCUCACAUCAUGGAGGCCAGACAGCAGGGAGCAAGGACAAGCCAAGGGCAGUCGAUGUGCCCCUUCCAGCUCACCCUCCAGGGACCCACCGCCUCCAAC